rnacentral:lncRNA from 1 species
AAAAAACGUGUUGCACUUUUGCCUAACAUGACAUAAGUUUGCUAUUUGUGCUUAUCUAGAGAUAGAAAAAAUCUUUGCACAUUAGAAAACAAACAGAACAGAUAAAAUGAUAAUUAUUACACUUCUUCCUGAUUUAGUUAUUGAAAUUGAUUUAGAAAUUUUGCUUCUGUGUCAAGGAGGUACAUCAAUAUAAAAGUUAAAUUCUUUUUUUAAAAAAAAUAUAAUCUCUAAAAACACUUAAUACUAGAAUAAAAAUCCCAUCAACUCUAAUGUUAAUAGGUAAUUUGUAUGACCAAAAUGUGCUGAACACACAAAUGAUCUUCUGAGUACUACCAAACUAAAGAGCUACUAUGAGAGAUUGAACAUUCUCAAAUGGGAUAAAAUGUCCAGGUUUCUUUUAAUUAGUACUAUUCAGAGGUAGAGGUCCUGACCUUGAUUUCUAGCACAAACUAGGCAAAAGGCUUUAUGAAGUUGUAAAUAAAAUUUGGAGAUUAAAGUGCAGUACUCACAAAUUAUUUCUUGUUUCUAUGAAAUCUGAUUGACUCUUGUAGACAUGGAGGUAAAAGAAAGAACUAGUAGUUUUGCUCACGGUUUGUAAACGCUUGUAUUAGCCUCUUUGCUGUCAUAUGUACAUUAUGUAUGUCUGAACUUCUUGCCUUUAUUUUUAAACUGCUAUGGACUUUUCUCAAGUUAGAAGUAAUAUGAGAAGAAAUAAUUUUUAUAAUGUAUCCAUUAUUUCCAUCUAUUUACUAUCUCUUCAAAGGUGUAGAUAUGGGCUAGGACUAUGGCCUAGGUGGUAGAGUACGGCCUAGCACACAAAGAAUACUGGGUUUCACACCCUAGCACCAUAUUAAUAAACCUGUUAUGAUGAUCUAUACCUCAAAUUCCAGCACACAGGUUGAAUCAGGAAAAUCAAACGUUCAGUGUCAUCCAUUAGUACAGAGCAUGUUUGAGGCCAGCCUGGGUUACAUAAACUAUGAAGUUUAACUUGGCUUAACAUCAAGACUCAAAUUAUAGCUGGAUGUGAAUUAUAGUGGGGCAUAACAGCACAUGCCUGUGAUCCUUAGACUUUGAAGGUUGGGGAUUAUCUCAAGUUGUAGGUAAGUCUAGAGUUCAAAAUGUUACGGACAGUGUUCCUCCCCCAAUUCCUAAAGAGAUAAAACACAGCUGUAAAGUGUAUGUCAUUGUCUUUUACCUCAAUUGCCUAAGUCUUAGGUAGAUGGGUUUUUUGCUUGUUUUUUCUGUUACUCUGCAUUUUGUAAUCUAGAGAAGAGUUUCACUAGAGUGAUAGAAAUACCUGAGGAGGCAAUACUGUGCAUUAAAGUCUUCUACUGUGUUCUGGGAAAUCUGAGGCAGAGGGAUUGGGAGUUGGAGCCUGGCAUGUAUUAACAAGACUCUGUCUCAACAACAACAACAACAAAAUAGUUUAAUUUAAAAUUGUGGCUUGUAUUAGUUGGAGAGACUCUGGGUUUAGCACUUGCUGUUUUUGCAGAAUACCUAUCACCCAUGUGGCAGCUCAUACCUGCCUCUAACUCAGGUUCUGGGAGAACUCAUACCCUUUCUUAGCCCCUUCAGCACACAGACAGAGAGGUCCUGAGGGCAGCCUACAUUCAUUCUGUCCCUGCUUCAUAAGAAUUGUGCUUAGAAAAGCAGUUCAUUAAAAUUAAGUUUAAAUUUGGUGAUUUUUCUCAUCUAUUUGAUACCUUAAAAUGUUAGUUUAGUUAAACUUGCACAUGAUUUAGCUGUAUCAGGAGAUGAAAUAUUUGAAAUUGUGAAGGUUUUCUUUAUGCAGGUAUUUAAAAGUACUUAGGUCUUUCGGUCCUUCCUGGUUUUAAAUGUAAAUAUUUAGAAAUAAUAGGCUUAUUAUUAAAUAAUCGAGGCUAGCCUGGUCUACAGAGUGAGUUCCAGGACAACCAGGGCUAUACAGAGAAACCCUGUCUCGAAAAAAAAAACAAAAAACAAAACAAAAAAAGAAUAGGUUUGCUUCCUAUACUAGAUUUUUAAAAAUUUGUAUAAUAAUUAGCUUAUUGAAGGUUUCAUUUUCCUACAAUACUCUCAUGUUUUGUACUCCUUUGAAUUAAGUCAUGUGUAUGGUUGUAUCACCUAGUCAUAUAAAUAGUAAAGGUGUUUGUCUGUUUUAUUCAUUGUUUUUGAGAGUUUCUCACUGUAUAUCGUUGGCUAUCCUAGAACUCAUUAUAUAGAUCAGACUGGCCUCCAACUCAAACAUUCACCAACCAGUACCCAAAUCUCUGAGAGCUGUUACCAUGCCUGGUUUUUAAUACAUGCACGCACAUACAAACACACGGCGUUAUUUUUCUUUCCUUUUUCUUUCUUCUUCUUCUUUUUUUUUUCUUUUCCCUAUGCUUGAGAUUUUACCUUAGGUACUUGAAAUAAUGCAGUACCUGUUUGGCCAGUAUAUAGUGUGAAGUCCGUAAAGGAUCCUGACCUCUCAGGCACGCUUUCUUUCUUUUUUUGCACUGUAAAUCAUUGUUAAAAUUCCAGUUUGUAUUAAUGGAGUAUAAAAGCAAGAUGAUAUCAAUUGGAAAUUGUGCACUUUGUGGGAUAGAAGCAGUCUUCAGAACUUUACAGUUCUUAUGUUAUCUUCAAAUCUUAGUCCCUUUAAGUUAUUAAUGAGAGAAAUAAAACAGAGUGGGCCUCCUCCUCCUUUUAACUAACUUCAAUUCCCUAAAAAAUUUGACAACUCUCCUUACUCAGCUUUAAAAUUUUUUUGAUUUUUCAAAAUAAAUAGUUCUAGGUGUUUUUUUAAAAUAGCUUUUACUUUAAUUACUUUAAAUUAAAUUAAAUAGUCAUUGACAAGAUCCUGCGGAAUCCUCUACUUAUCAACCUAACAUGGAACAGAGCACUUGGGGGAAAUGAUGCUUAAAAUUAAUAUUAAAUAUAUGUUUUAUGAUGAGGGAAAUAUGUUUUGUUGAUCACCUAUUUUUUCAUGCUUGUCUUUUUCAUAUUUUAUAUAUUUUAUAUUUUCUAUAUAUUUUUCUGCAUUUAAGUGGGACAUUGCUAUUAUAAAUUACUCUCCAGAAGAAUUUUUACACCUCAUAACCUAAACCUAUCUGUAGAUUGCAUAUAAAUACAGAGACUGUGGGUAGGGUAGGACAGGUAUUUUUAACAGUCUCAGAAUACUUGUAGAUUUUCUUUGUGAUACGGUUUGAUAUAUAGAGUGUCCUUCUUUAAAAGCCCAUCUUUAGUAGACAGUUUAAUGUGGCCAUCAAAAUCUGAGUUUCUGUUUCCUUUUUUCUGAAAUAAGACACAGUUUCUUUUCUUUCCAUUUUUUUUUUAAUGUAAAACAUGAAAUGAAGAGCAUAUACUGAAACAGAACUGUGACUCAUUGACGUUUCAUGUCCUUCUCCAUUGUUGUAGUUGGUGCGUCUCUCCCUUGUGGCCACCCCUGAUCUCUGCAGUCAGUGGCUGUGUCUCUGCCAGCUCUUCUGCAGAGCAUCUAUUGUGGCUCCCUCUCCAUCACUGACUAAUAGGAUUUUUCUCAUUUCUUGACUCUUGAUCAGUUACACUUUUUGUCUUGUUUUUAGUUUUUUUGUAAUGGAAUUUGGCACUUAUAGUUACUAGGAGGCUUUUAUUAUGUAAAUAUUAGUGUAGAAGAACAUAAAUAUUUUAUAUAAAUCUGUAUUAGUAAGUCUUUGGUUAUGUGACUUUUUUACAGCUAUUGUCAUUCAUUGAACAUUCCAUUGAUGUUUCCUG